rnacentral:rRNA from 1 species
UACGUAGGGACCAAGCGUUGUUCGGAUUUACUGGGCGUAAAGGGCGCGUAGGCGGCCUUCUAAGUCAGACGUGAAAUCCCCCGGCUUAACCUGGGAACUGCGUCUGAUACUGGGAGGCUUGAGUAUGGGAGAGGGAUGUAGAAUUCCAGGUGUAGCGGUGAAAUGCGUAGAUAUCUGGAGGAAUACCGGUGGCGAAGGCGGCAUCCUGGACCAUAACUGACGCUGAGGUGCGAAAGCGUGGGGAGCAAACAGG